UACGGAAUGUGCAAACGUUAUUCGGAGUCACUGAGCUUAAAGAGUCCGUAGGCGGCUUGUUAGGUGAGGUGUGAAAUCCCUCGGCCCAACCGAGGAAUUGCGCUUCAAACCGGCAAGCUAGAGGAGGAUAGAGGUGGGCGGAACUGAUGGUGGAGCGGUGAAAUGCGUUGAUAUCAUCAGGAACACCGGAGGCGAAGGCGGUCCACUGGGUCCUUUCUGACGCUGAGGGACGAAAGCUAGGGGAGCAAACGGG
rnacentral:rRNA from 1 species